rnacentral:rRNA from 1 species
CUGGUGCCAGCAGCCGCGGUAAUUCCAGCUCCAAUAGCGUAUAUUAAAGUUGUUGCAGUUAAAAGCUCGUAGUUGAAUUCGGGUUAGUAGAUUGGUCAUGCCUCUGGUAUGCACUGGUCUUACUGAUUCCUCCUUCCUGAUGAACCGUAAUGCCAUUAAUUUGGUGUUGCGGGGAAACUGGACUGUUACUUUGAAAAAUUAGAGUGUUUAAAGCAGGUUAACGCUUGAAUACAUUAGCAUGGAAUAAUGAAAUAGGACGUUCGAUCCUAUUUUGUUGGUUUCUAGGGAUCGACGUAAUGAUUAAUAGGGAUAGUUGGGGGCAUUAGUAUUCAAUUGUCAGAGGUGAAAUUCUUGGAUUUAUUGAAGACUAACUACUGGCGAAAGCAUUUGCCAAGGAUGUUUUCAUUAAUCAAGAACGAAAGUUAGGGGGAUCGAAGACGAUCAGAUACCGUCGUAGUCUUAACCAUAAACUAUGCCGACUAGGGAUCGGAUGAUGUUAAUUUUUUAAUGACUCAUUCGGCGCCUUACG